rnacentral:piRNA from 1 species
UGAUAAGUCAAUACUGCUAAGAUAGCGCGC